rnacentral:rRNA from 1 species
GGUUAAGCGACUAAGCGUACACGGUGGAUGCCCUGGCAGUCAGAGGCGAUGAAGGACGUGCUAAUCUGCGAUAAGCGUCGGUAAGGUGAUAUGAACCGUUAUAACCGGCGAUUUCCGAAUGGGGAAACCCAGUGUGUUUCGACACACUAUCAUUAACUGAAUCCAUAGGUUAAUGAGGCGAACCGGGGGAACUGAAACAUCUAAGUACCCCGAGGAAAAGAAAUCAACCGAGAUUCCCCCAGUAGCGGCGAGCGAACGGGGAGCAGCCCAGAGCCUGAAUCAGUAUGUGUGUUAGUGGAAGCGUCUGGAAAGGCGCGCGAUACAGGGUGACAGCCCCGUACACAAAAAUGCACAUGCUGUGAGCUCGAUGAGUAGGGCGGGACACGUGGUAUCCUGUCUGAAUAUGGGGGGACCAUCCUCCAAGGCUAAAUACUCCUGACUGACCGAUAGUGAACCAGUACCGUGAGGGAAAGGCGAAAAGAACCCCGGCGAGGGGAGUGAAAAAGAACCUGAAACCGUGUACGUACAAGCAGUGGGAGCACGCUUAGGCGUGUGACUGCGUACCUUUUGUAUAAUGGGUCAGCGACUUAUAUUCUGUAGCAAGGUUAACCGAAUAGGGGAGCCGAAGGGAAACCGAGUCUUAACUGGGCGUUAAGUUGCAGGGUAUAGACCCGAAACCCGGUGAUCUAGCCAUGGGCAGGUUGAAGGUUGGGUAACACUAACUGGAGGACCGAACCGACUAAUGUUGAAAAAUUAGCGGAUGACUUGUGGCUGGGGGUGAAAGGCCAAUCAAACCGGGAGAUAGCUGGUUCUCCCCGAAAGCUAUUUAGGUAGCGCCUCGUGAAUUCAUCUCCGGGGGUAGAGCACUGUUUCGGCAAGGGGGUCAUCCCGACUUACCAACCCGAUGCAAACUGCGAAUACCGGAGAAUGUUAUCACGGGAGACACACGGCGGGUGCUAACGUCCGUCGUGAAGAGGGAAACAACCCAGACCGCCAGCUAAGGUCCCAAAGUCAUGGUUAAGUGGGAAACGAUGUGGGAAGGCCCAGACAGCCAGGAUGUUGGCUUAGAAGCAGCCAUCAUUUAAAGAAAGCGUAAUAGCUCACUGGUCGAGUCGGCCUGCGCGGAAGAUGUAACGGGGCUAAACCAUGCACCGAAGCUGCGGCAGCGACACUAUGUGUUGUUGGGUAGGGGAGCGUUCUGUAAGCCUGUGAAGGUGUGCUGUGAGG